UCUUCCAGAGGGAGACACCAUCACUAUCCUCCAAGACUAUUUACCACAAAGGACAGAGAGAAUCAGGCCUCUGCUCUCCUGACACCCAGGAAGGUGAGACAUCCAUGAGGAAUCAUCACCUGACAUGAUGAGAACCUGCAGAAGAGGAGGUGGGAAGAGUAUACGAGCCAGAAGGGAUGGAGGACACCAAGAAAACAAGGUUCUCUAAACUCGUAUGGACCUCCCAGAGACGGAAGCAGCAUGCACAGAGCCUAAGCAGAAAGUUGCAACAAAAUACAUCAAGAAUGAAAAUCACAAAGGAUGAAGAUGCUGUGUAAGGAAGACAUUACCUGUUCCUUCAAGCUUCCUUCUGAGCCUCUUGGAACACUUGCCUGUGACACUCAGCUUCUAGGCUUUGAAGAGGCCCAGGAAAGCACAUGGAAAGAUCUACAUGAAAAGAACUGAUGUCCCCAACUGACAAGCAAGUUGAGUAACCAUCCAAGAGCCAGUGGCACUUAGACAAAUCUGACUCAACCAUUUUGAGUCAAACCAGUUGACACUACGUGGAACAGAGUAAAGCUGUUCCUGCUGCAGCUCCCUCCA